UACGUAGGGGGCUAGCGUUGUUCGGAAUUACUGGGCGUAAAGCGCGCGUAGGCGGAUCGCUAAGUCAGGGGUGAAAUCCCAGGGCUCAACCCUGGAACUGCCUCUGAUACUGGCAAUCUGGAGAUCGGGAGAGGUUGGUGGAAUUCCGAGUGUAGAGGUGAAAUUCGUAGAUAUCGGGAGGAACACCGGUGGCGAAGGCGGCACCCUGGUUGGAUACUGACGCUGAGACGCGAAAGCGUGGGGAGCAAACAGG
rnacentral:rRNA from 1 species